rnacentral:rRNA from 1 species
GACGAACGCUGGCGGCGUGCUUAACACAUGCAAGUCGAACGGAAAGGCCUGCUUUCCCUUGUGGAUUGCGGGUACUCGCGUGGCGAACGGGUGAGUAACACGUGAGUGAUCUGCCCCCAACUUGGGUAUAAGCCUGGGAAACUGGGUCUAAUUCCCGAUAGGACUGCAGGGUGGUGCCUGUGGUGGAAAACGCUUUUCUAGUGGUUGGGGAUGAGCUCGCGGCCUAUCAGCUUGUUGGUGGGGUAAUGGCCUAUCAAGGCGGAGACGGGUAGCCGGCCUGGGAAGGAGGACGGCCGCAUUUGGGCAGAGACGCGGCCAGGAGAGCGACGGGAGGCACCGGUGGGGAUAGAUGCAGGAUGGGCGGAAGGCUGGCGCCGCGGUGCAGAGUGGGGGAUGAGGGCCGUCGGGUUGUAAGCGGCGGCCGGCCGGGAGGGAGCGACAGGGAUUGAAGGGUGGGGACGGUAGUGGUAGAAGAAGCACCGGCUAACUACGGG